rnacentral:rRNA from 1 species
UACAGAGGGGGCGAGCGUUGUUCGGAAUUACUGGGCGUAAAGGGCGCGUAGGCGGCCAACUAAGUCAGACGUGAAAUCCCUCGGCUCAACCGGGGAACUGCGUCUGAUACUGGAUGGCUUGAAUUCGGGAGAGGGAUGCGGAAUUCCAGGUGUAGCGGUGAAAUGCGUAGAUAUCUGGAGGAACACCGGUGGCGAAGGCGGCAUCCUGGACCGAGAUUGGCGCUGAUGCGCGAAAGCCAGGGGAGCAAACGGG